UAAUUCAUCAAGAAAAUAGAAUAAAAUCCAUUUGCAUCUCGUGAUCAAGAUCUCAAAUUAAAAUUACCCACAUCAUUAUAAAAAUAUUUUUGAAACCACUUUUUAAAAAUUACCUCAUUAAAAAAUCUCGGGAUAAAAGUGGACGUUGGAGAAUGUAGCAAAGUAAGGAUGCAGAAAAAACGAUGACAAAAAAUGUACAUGUAUGUAUAAUUAUUUGUGCUUACUUGCAAAGUUAUGUUUGUCCUUUUGGAAUACGAGAAAUCGUUCAUGACAUAUUGGUGUUGGAAUACUGAAAAUGGGAAUUAGAAAAGCUCUCUCCUUAUGAAAGCUGGAGUUUAAUAGACAGGAACAUGUACAGGAUGUUUAUACAAAAACAAUGUAAACAUCUGCAAUCUGCUCCUUUAAAGAAAAUUGAGUGAAAUCCCAUCUAAUACUGUUUCCUUUCUGUAACUUAUAAAAUGUUCUUUGUAGCUUCACGCCUGACUGUUUAGAGAUAUUCUCUUUAUGUAUGUAUUUAUAUAUAAAUAAGUCAGUACAUGCUGGGUUGUGCCCAGUGCUGGCUUUGCAGUGUGCCACACACACACACCCGUACUGUCACUGCAAAAGACAGAAAAAAAAACACAGCGACACGAACGAGCAGCCUCGGCGCCUGGCAUCGUUUGCAAUAAUGUGUCGCAUCCCCUCUAACAUUAUCCAAGCUUGAUCCACCUGCCCGCAGCCAAGGACGAUGUUAGCAACAUUGCAGAUACAAGUAAACUGGUAAGGUUUUAUUGCCCGUACUGAUGGCAAAGUGCACUUCCAGUCCAUAGAUAUUAUUAAAUUAAAAUAUCAACGCAAAAUACAAUAAUGUAAUUAUAUGCUUCAUUAAAUCAAAUGCUGAAGACAGAGAUAGCAUCAGUGAAUGGUUGAACAAAAGAACGACGCAUUGGUGUAGGGAUAAACUGCAGAUGCUGGUUUAAAGCGAAGAUGGACACAAAAAGACACAAAGUACUGGAGUAACUCAGCGGGCCAAGCAGCAUCUCUGGAAAAAAGGAAUAGGCGACGUUUCAGAUCGAGACCCUUUGGCGUAUUGAAUAUGAAUCGCUCACCGUGGGAUCCUUGAUCCUUGAUUGAACAUUGUAUCAUUUUCAACGAAUUUAGUCCUUAUUGUGGAUGGCACGGUGGCAUAGUGGUAGAGCUACUGCCUUACAGCAUUAGAGACCCGGGUUCGAUCUGUCUGUGGGUUUGAUCCUGACACAUGACCUGCGUGGGUUUUCUUCGAGAACUUCGGUUUCCACCCACACUCCAAAGACGUACAGAUGGGUCAUCCAUCAGGAACCAUCAGAAUCUCUGGAAUUUUGAAAGCUGGAAAUCAGACAUCCACUUUCUCAUUAACUAUCUCCUUCAAAACUGUAGUUCACAGGUGCUGGACAUUUAUUCAUUUCAGGCUAUACUAAUUCCGUUUUAUAUUGGACCCUUGUUCUCAAGUAUUUGCGAGAGUAUUUUUCUGUGCAGCCAGAUAUAAAAUAUUUGUUUAUUUCCUCCCAUUUUCCUUUUCUGCAUGAUAACUGUGGGCGAUGAAACACUGGAACUUUUGCUCUUUCAUUCCCAGAGAUACAAAUGCACCUUUCAGAGGAGACAAUUAUUAAUUUACGCCUUUGGCAUUUCAUGUAGUGCACUUGGUGUUGUUUCUGUAAUAAAAAUAAUAAAACAUUUUCACCUUAAAAGCUGUCGGUGGCUAUUUCC